rnacentral:rRNA from 1 species
CCUGACGGCCAUAGCAGGGCGGCCCCACUCCUUCCCAUUCCGAACAGGACAGUGAAACGCCUUUGCGCCGAUGAUAGUCAGUUGUAUUUCUGGUGAAAGUAGGUCACCGUCAGGC